AUUGAACGCUGGCGGCAGGCCUAACACAUGCAAGUCGAGCGAGCGGCGGACGGGUGGGUAAUGUCUGGGAAACUGUCUGACGGACGGAGAUAACUACUGUAAACGGUAGCUAAUACCGCAUACUAUCAGAUGUGCUCAGAUGGGAUUAGCUAGUCGGUGGGGUAAUGGCUCACCUAGGCGACGAUCCCUAGCUGGUCGGAGAGGAUGACCAGCCACACUGGAACGGGGACACGGUCCAGAAUCCUACGGGAGGCAGCAGUGGGGAAUAUUGCACAAUGGGCGCAAGCCUGAUGCAGCCAUGCCGCGGGUGUGAAGAAGGCCUUCGGGUUGUAAAGCACUUUCAGCGAGGAGGCGUUACUCGCAGAGGAAGCACCGGCUAACUCCGUGCCAGCAGCCGCGGUAAUAC
rnacentral:rRNA from 1 species